rnacentral:rRNA from 1 species
CGCCUGUUUAUCAAAAACAUUGUCUCAUGAAUAAAAUAUGAGAUAAUACCUGCCCAGUGACAUAUAGUUCAACGGCCGCGGUAUCCUAACCGUGCAAAGGUAGCAUAAUCACUUGCCUAUUAAUUGUAGGCUAGAAUGAAAGGGUUAACGAAAUAAAAACUGUCUCAAUUAGUUGCCUAAAAAUUAUUUUCUGCUUGAAGAAAAGCAGAUAAUCUCGAAGGACAAGAAGACCCUAUAGAGCUUAAUUUUCCACAUAGAUAUAUCCUAUGAAAGAAUUCGGUUGGGGCGACCCAGGGCUAAAUAAUCACCCAUUAAUUUAAAGAUAUAUUUAUCAAAUAAAUGACCCUUUAAAGAUCAUAAAAUCAAGUUACCUUAGGGAUAACAGGCUAAUCCCACUUAAGAGUUCUUAUCAAAAGUGGGGAUUGGCACCUCGAUGUUGGCUUAGGGUAUCUAUACGGCGCAAAAGUCAUAUAAAGAUGGUUUGUUCAACCAAUAACCCCCUACGUGAUCU